rnacentral:ncRNA from 1 species
GCAAGUAGAGGUCGCGUUAUCCAUCAGUAGGCAGAGGGAUAUGACAGGCAUAGAUGAAGCUGCCGAAAGGGGAUGACGCCGAAGAUGGUUGUGCCUGUACAUUUCCAUCUGGGCGCAGCGGCGAAGAGCCCUGCGACUGUCAUCCCGGACGGAUGGAGAGCUACG